rnacentral:rRNA from 1 species
UUAGAGUUUGAUCCUGGCUCAGGAUGAACGCUAGCGGCAGGCUUAACACAUGCAAGUCGAGGGGCAGCGAGAUCAGUGCUUGCACUGAUUGUCGGUGACCGGCGCACGGGUGCGUAACGCGUAUGCAACCUACCCAUUACAGGGGGAUAACACUGAGAAAUCGGUACUAAUACCCCAUAACAUCCAGGGAGGCAUCUUCUUGGGUUGAAAACUCCGGUGGUAAUGGAUGGGCAUGCGUUGUAUUAGUUAGUUGGUGGGGUAACGGCUCACCAAGACAACGAUACAUAGGGGGACUGAGAGGUUAACCCCCCACAUUGGUACUGAGACACGGACCAAACUCCUACGGGAGGCAGCAGUGAGGAAUAUUGGUCAAUGGACGCAAGUCUGAACCAGCAAUGCCGCGUGCAGGAAGACGGCUCUAUGAGUUGUAAACUGCUUUUGUACGAGGGUAAACGCAGAUACGCGUAUCUGUCUGAAAGUAUCGUACGAAUAAGGAUCGGCUAACUCCGUGCCAGCAGCCGCGGUAAUACGGAGGAUUCAAGCGUUAUCCGGAUUUAUUGGGUUUAAAGGGUGCGUAGGCGGUCGGAUAAGUUAGAGGUGAAAUCCCGGGGCUCAACUUCGGAAUUGCCUCUGAUACUGUUCGGCUAGAGAGUAGUUGCGGUAGGCGGAAUGUAUGGUGUAGCGGUGAAAUGCUUAGAGAUCAUACAGAACACCGAUUGCGAAGGCAGCUUACCAAGCUACUUCUGACGUUGAGGCACGAAAGCGUGGGGAGCAAACAGGAUUAGAUACCCUGGUAGUCCACGCAGUAAACGAUGAUAACUCGUUGUCGGCGAUACAGUGUCGGUGACUAAGCGAAAGCGAUAAGUUAUCCACCUGGGGAGUACGUUCGCAAGAAUGAAACUCAAAGGAAUUGACGGGGGCCCGCACAAGCGGAGGAACAUGUGGUUUAAUUCGAUGAUACGCGAGGAACCUUACCCGGGCUUGAAAGUUAGUGACGGAUCUUGAAAGAGGUCUUCUCUUCGGGGCACGAAACUAGGUGCUGCAUGGUUGUCGUCAGCUCGUGCCGUGAGGUGUCGGGUUAAGUCCCAUAACGAGCGCAACCCCUACCGUUAGUUGCCAGCAGGUCAAGCUGGGCACUCUGACGGGACUGCCGGUGUAAGCCGAGAGGAAGGUGGGGAUGACGUCAAAUCAGCACGGCCCUUACGUCCGGGGCUACACACGUGUUACAAUGGCAGGUACAGAGGGCAGCUACCCAGCGAUGGGAUGCGAAUCUCGAAAGCCUGUCUCAGUUCGGAUUGGAGGCUGAAACCCGCCUCCAUGUAGUUGGAUUCGCUAGUAAUCGCGCAUCAGCCAUGGCGCGGUGAAUACGUUCCCGGGCCGUGUACUCACCGCCCGUCA